rnacentral:rRNA from 1 species
UACGAAGGGUGCAAGCGUUACUCGGAAUUACUGGGCGUAAAGCGUGCGUAGGCGGUUUGUUAAGUCCGUUGUGAAAGCCCUGGGCUCAACCUGGGAAUUGCAGUUGAUACGGGCAGACUAGAGGUGAUGCGAGGGAGACGGAAUUCCUGGUGUAGCGGUGAAAUGCGCAGAUAUCAGGAGGAACACCGGUGGCGAAGGCGGUCUCUGGGCAUACCUGACGCUGAGGAGCGAAAGUGUGGGAGGCGAACAGG